CACCUGGCCGCCGCCAUCUUUGCUCGGGGUUUGCGACCCAGAGGUUAAUUUCAGCAAAUGUCCCUGCCCUCUUUGCCGUAAGGACCAAUGGAAAGCGGAAUUUGAGAAGGAGGCCGUUUCUCAGAGGGCCUGAGCCUCCUCGUGAGUAAAAUGGUUCACAAGUUCCUGUUUGCCAAGGGCACGUGAAAGAGAUAAUAAGAGGCCUGGGGAUCUGAAGCCGGAAAGGAUGAAGAGGGCAGCUCAUGGAACAGAGGCCCCUUCUGUCUCAGUCUUAGAAAUUUCUCCCUAUGCUCAGACACCCUCCAGGAAGAGAAGCUUACCUACCAUAGAAGAAGCCUGGCAGAUGCCGUAGGGUGAGGUCAGCAAGGACAACUGCGCACUGGAUUUGAGGACUGAGGCCAGGAAAGUGGCCCAACGAGGCACAGACCCCAAUCAAUUGAUCUGAGCAACAAAAAAGUAUCUGGGCAUAAAGUCUUGAGGGACCAGGAAAAAGCUAGAGCAAAUACUCCAUAUUUUUGUGCAGAGUUGAGACCAGCUGGAUCCUGGGCUGCAGACCAUAUGCCAUUUACAGCAGAAACCUCUUUCCCCUCUGGUCCUGCUUACAAUUACUCCCAUCUUCUGAUUUCCUGGAUUUUGGCACCUCAGUACAAUUUUUACAUCUGCUUCUUAACUGGGUUGGUGACCCUCCCUUUCCAAGCUUCUUGUACACUGACUCUGCACACACUUCUGGGAUCUGUUCAUUUCUUUGGAUUUGGUGACAUCUAUCCUCAUCUCUUAACCUACUAUCGUUCCAGUUUUUGUUACCGAUACAAUGACUAAACAGACUUGCCCAUCACCACUGAAUCACAGCCAAACAAAGGGUAGUAAUGAUGAUUUUGUAAUACCACAGUCUCUGUAUAGUCCUUGAAUCAGCUGAGUUUUUCUUUCUGGAGUAGGUGGGAAGAAACAAGAAUUCUGAUGUGCUUGGUACUCUUGCCCAAGCACUGAAGCACUUUACAAGGGAACAAAGAUAAGAAAAUCUAUCAAUUCCAAAUGUCCACAUUAGUCAUGCAUAAAGGCACCAACGUUUCACAGAAAACAAACAAAUCUAUCCCAACGAACCCUUGCUGUUUAUCACAUUCACCAGAAAGGCUAGAAAAAGUCGAGCUGGACAGAGCCCUGUUGUCCGGAGCACAAAUCGAUUCCAUAUUGUAUGACAUUCCGUCUGGUGAUUUUUUGGAUCGCCUCCCAAGGAAGCUACUUGGACUGAAAGCCUAGUCCCACUGUCGAAACCCUGGUGCAAAGAAAUGUAGACACCCACCCCAGAGACUCUUCCAGCAGCGCCAUAGCAAAAUUCGUUAAAGCUUUAUUACCAUUAAUUGUAGGAGAGAGGGGACCUUGACCACUGUCCCAGAGCCUUGGAUAAAUUACCAACUCCAUCCCCAACGUGGUCUGGGAAGAUACCCGAAACAAAACAGGACUGGAAAUGCCAAGUGCACAUUUCACAAGUGAGUCAAGACACAAAAUGACAGGCACUCACACUGCAUUGGGGAAGAUAGAUAAUAACCAGUAUCCAGGGCUAUCAUCACACACUGACUUGAGUCUAGCACUGAACACUGUGCUAAAAGUUGUACGUACAUCAUGGAACAGAACCUUUUAACGACCUGCAAGGAACGUACUACUAUCUCAAUUAACAAAAGAGAAGACUGAGGUCAAAAGAAUUUGAGUAAUUUAUCUGUCAUCACCCAGAUAAUAAAUAGUAGAGCUGAUUCAAA